GCCUUCGUGGUGUAGUGGUCAGCACGCUCGACGCAUAUUCAAGAGGUCCGUGGUUCGAUUCCCAGCUAGAGCA
rfam:Stegodyphus mimosarum contig111784, whole genome shotgun sequence.